AUUGAACGCUGGCGGCAUGCCUUACACAUGCAAGUCGAACGGCAGCACGGGGCAACCUGGUGGCGAGUGGCGAACGGGUGAGUAAUGCAUCGGAACGUGCCAUUGAGUGGGGGAUAACGUAGCGAAAGUUGCGCUAAUACCGUAUAUUCUGUGAGCAGGAAAGCAGGGGACCGCAAGGCCUUGCGCUCUUUGAGCGGCCGAUGUCAGAUUAGCUAGUUGGUGAGGUAACGGCUUACCAAGGCGACGAUCUGUAGCGGGUCUGAGAGGAUGAUCCGCCACACUGGAACUGAGACACGGUCCAGACUCCUACGGGAGGCAGCAGUGGGGAAUUUUGGACAAUGGGCGCAAGCCUGAUCCAGCCAUGCCGCGUGAGUGAAGAAGGCC
rnacentral:rRNA from 1 species